GUAUUAAAAUCUAAAUAUUCAAAGAGUUGAUUAAUUCUGUGAAAUUUAGGGUGCGUUUGAUUCGCGCUAUCUUUUUAAAAUUUCUAGUAAUCUAAUAGGAAUAAAAAAAUAUGACGGUAUUUGGCUAAACGUACUAAAUAAUCUAGUUGGUAAUAUUAGAUUUAUUUGAAAAUGAGAUUCAUCCCAAAGUACUAAUCUCAUUCCUUUGAGAGAGGAUGGAUAUCCUCAUAUUAAUUGAUUAGGGUAAUUAUAAUAUAUAUAAUCUCUUUCUUAAUUUCUCCAUACCCGCCUGCUAGUAGGUAUUAUUUUUUUUUACACUCUAACCUACUAUUUCUCUCUAAAUUUAUCUUUUUCUUUCUAAACUAAGCUCUCUUUCUCCCUCUUUUCUAAAAUCUCAACUCUCCUGCUCCCUCUAAUAUCGACUCUAUUUCUCUUCCUAUUUAUUUAAGUAUGUACUUUCUCUCUAACCUAUGUUCUCUUUUCCUUUUUUCUAAAAAGAUGUUGAAAUUUUUUAUAGUAUUAUCUAAAAUUAAUUAAAGAAAUAAAUUAAUUAAUUAUAUAUUUUUUGUAAUUUUAAAUAAUAUAACUAAUUAAUAUGACCGUACGAACCAAAUACGGAAAUACCACAUUCUUAGUAAUAAGAUGAAUAAAAAUAAAAUUCUCGGACAUCUUUUUAUUCUUAAUAAUUUUUCAUAGUGCGAACCAAAUGCGCCCUUAGAGUAAGAUGUUAACCUUAUAAUAAA
rnacentral:lncRNA from 1 species